UACGUAGGGGGCAAGCGUUGUCCGGAUUUAUUGGGCGUAAAGGGCACGCAGGCGGUCUUGUAAGUUUCGAGUGACAGGUGGUGGCUUAACUGCCACAGGCCUUGGAAAACUGCAAGACUUGAGGACGAGAGAGGGAUGCGGAAUUCCAGGUGUAGCGGUGAAAUGCGUAGAUAUCUGGAGGAACACCGGUGGCGAAGGCGGCGUUCUGGACUGUAACUGACACUGAUGAACGAAAGCCAGGGGAGCAAACGGG
rnacentral:rRNA from 1 species